AGUACAUAUUUAAAUUUGACUUUGAAAUAACAACAAAGCAGUCAAAGUCCUUUAUGCUAUUGCUCACGUAAAAUAGGAUGAGGACGCGAGGGGAGGGGUCACUCGAAGGUAAACGAAGUUAGUUUCUCAUUAUCGAUCGGGCGGUGUGGAUCGUUAUUUUGUACGGUCCAAUAAAUUAUCUCCGGCUUGUAGGCUAAUGUAUUAAUACAAAUUAAUCCGAAGAGAGACAUUAACGUACCUAGAUAUUACCGUCGUGUGGUAUAUACAAUUAUUAUUAAAUAAUGUGUUGGUUACUACAAGAAGAAUCGAGAAUAAUUUUAUUGCGCGUAUCGUUAAUUCUUCGAAAAUACAACUUUCGUCAAGAUCGAUGAGCCCAGCUGAAUUUUUUCUCGAUAAACCCUCAUCGUGCGCGUGGGAGAUAUGUCGGAACAUCACGGUACAUCGCUUUUUUAGUCGACAAAGCUUUGUGGAACUUCGUUAAUGAGAGCAAACAGAAAAUUCGGAUUUGAAAAGGAUGCUUUCAAAGGAGACUACCAGGAGGCUGUGGUUGGACUAAUUAUAUUCUCGGGAAGGAUGAAGUGUUCUUCGACGUGUUCGUGAACGUUUGAAAAAGACUAGAAGAGAUGAUAGAGUAAAAGAUGAGGUGGAGGAGAAGGACGUUUCGUGGUUCUAGUUGGCGGGUUUAUUAAUUAAGCAACGGUUACGUGCAACCAAGGCGAUUAACUUUUCUUAUCAGCGAAGAAGAAAAAGCUUGGCCGAUCGGAUUUCCCGAGCACGAAAAGCACCCACGAGCUUUUUUCUCCUCUCAGUAGUAGGAUAACCAUCGAGCUCGUUAUAUACACGAGUCAGAUCCAAAUAUUAUAUAUCCAUGUGAAUAACAUUCUCGGAGACAUAGCAAUGUAAUUAAUCCAAUCAGAGUAACCACAUUUACACACAUUCCCACAAUAAUUCUUGAAUCGAGAAAGAUGUUCACUUUACUAGAUGGUAUCUCGGUAUGAGGAUAGAACGAGGCAGUGAUUCAUAGAAUAUUUGCGAAGCACCCCAGCCGCAAACCAAUGUCGGACGACCUAAAUGCUUUAUGAAAUAGGAUCAGCACUCCUGGAAUCUGAGAAUUUGUGCUACCGGAAGCUUCAGACUGCUAGGAAGGGAGAACCGUACGAGCUUUAAUGAUGAAACACGAGAGAUCGAUUGGAAUUUCGAGAGGAUAUAAACAUCGAUAUAAGCGGUACUUCACUCGACCACCCCUAUUCCAUAGAAGGUACUCGAGUCGAAUAUUUACGAACCGCAAAGGCGAACCAAUAAACAGAAUCGGAAUAUGGGAUAACUGUUUUAUGAAAUAACGAUAGUGUCUUUCGAAUUCGAACUUUUCCAUUCGAAAAUUAGAAAGAUAAGUAAGAAGAAGAAAUAUAUUUUAUUUUAUGAUGAGAACUAAUAAGAGAGAGAAAGAGAGAGAGAGAGAGAGAGAGAGAGAGAGAGAUUUAAAAGAUUUAUGACUGGAAUAACAAUGUUUCGCGUUUGACAAGUUCGCAAACGCCGACUUGUUUAAGGAAAAUUUAAUUUGACAAAAAGUUUAAAGUCCUUUUAUUAACUUUGUUAUUUAUUAGCGAAAGUUUUAAAAUCUCGGCUAAUAAUAUACGAUACGAUGGUAAAAAUAACAAUUAACUGAAAUAUCAAAAAACGAUAAUCUUGUACUGAGAUUUGAAUUCUAAGUUCUGAAUUGUAAAUUAGUUAAAUUCGGAAUAUAGUAUAUUUUGAGUUUUUAGUUCUAUGUGUGAAGAAAUGUAAAAAGAAAAAAAAAAUGUCUACAAAAUAUACACAUAGAAUGACCUGUGCGGGUCACGUUAUUUAUAUCGACACUUCGAAAAGUGUCGACUAAGGACAACGAAAGGGGAGUUAAAAUUAAUUAUUUGAUCAAUGAUAACUUAAUUCUCGAAAGGUUUUAGAAAAAAGAUUGUAUGUCAGGGUUCAAAAAAUUGACAUUUUUUGUAUUCUUUAAUUCAGAAUGUUUUAAUCGAAGUUGGAAUUUUUAAUGAAGAUAUCUGAUAUGUCAGACCAUCUAUCACCAAACGCGACCAUCAUAAAUUAUGAUCUUCUUCGAUCUUAACGGACAAUAUAAAUUAUAUAUUAAUUAUAUAUUAAAUUAUAAAUU